ensembl:lncRNA
GGCUUUGUUCCUCUUCUCUCUGAUCCCAUCCCGACAGCAAGGGUGGGAGAGUUGGGGCUGUGAGGAGGGAGGGUCUGCUCCCCAGAACCCCCACCCUCCACCCCCCAGCCCAGCCUUCAGCAGUUCCCCAGCUGUGGCCUGGGCCCUGUGACUCACUGACACCACGGCCUGCCCCUCCUGUGUCAGCACCCUGUGAGAUUCGGCAUGUUCCUUUGGCGUUUUCCACUGGGCACACAGCACAUUCCUGGAAGCUGGCCUGAGGGAGCAGAAUCCUCGAGGACAAGGACGAAGCGCCUGGAAUGUCUGGCUGACAGACUUGUCCUCAGAAACCCCCUACCUUUUGUCUGGCCUCCACAGAAGGCUGGGACACCCACCUUGCUUAAAGUUGCGGGGGAGGCGAGGAGGGCCCCAGGCAACCCCGGCUCCUGGGUUUGGGUCAGCAUCCUGAAGGUGUUCUGGAGAGAGGGUCACCUUGCCACAGCGGAGCUACUGUCUUGGGUUACCCUGCCCCAGUCACCUCCUGAGCAGCUGGUGAGCCUGUGAGGCUGACCUCCCCCCCCCAGGCCUGCAACUUCGCAGCCCGCUAGGUGCCUUGCCAGGAGCCCUUAUUCUUCCCAAACCUCUUGGGGUUUCCAAAGCCAGAGUAGACGUCAGUAAAUUACAUCUGACUUCUGAAUGCCUUGGUGGCUACUGUUUAUUGAAUAUCCACUGGGUGCCAAGCUGUGUGUUACACAGCUUUACAAAGUAGGUAUUAUCCCCAUUUUAUGAUGUGGAAACAGAGACUCGGAGACGCCAACUUUCCCCAGAUCCACAUAGGUGGGAUCCAGCCCACUUCCUCUAACCUCAGGCCCCCUGGCUCUCAGUCUCUCCCCGCUUAAGGGAGAUCCCAGCCCACUCUGAAGUUGUCGAGUUCUAUGUGGAUCCUAGGAGAAGGAGGGAGGAGGGCUGGCUGAGUAAGGAGGCUUGCACUUGUCCUGUGCCAGGCAGAGCCAGGCUUGGGUCACAGGAGAGAGGGCACCGGAUCUGAGGAACAAGUAGGUUCUUGGUCUGAGACCUUAUAGGUUGGGGCUGCCUGCCUGGGAAGCCUCCCCCUUGGGCCUUGAGAUGGAGCUGCCUUUACAGCUGCAUUUGUUUUCUCUGCAGACCCAGACUGUCCUCUGCCGACUGGGCCUUCCUGCGCCCAGGCAGACAGCUCCAUGCUGUAGGGCAGAGCCUGGCCUGGCUCCUCCCGGCCCCUGUCCCAACCAUGCCUGUACUUGCUGGGGUCACCUUGUUUUGUCUGAGUUUAGGAACUAAAGGAGAGGGCCAAUCGAGGCCCCUGGUAGAAUCCAGCUCCAGCAAGUACUCCAGCAAAUUCCUGAGCUUCUUCCAGCCUCAGUUUCCUCAUCUGUGAAAUGGAGAUCAUCAUAUGAUUGGUUGUUAUAUGAGUUCAACGAAGUAACACACAGUGCCUGGCACACAGUAGAUGCUAAAUAACCAGUAGCUGGACUUUUAACUUGGAAAGGAAUUCCUAGUUAUCACACUGUGCCUGGCUUUGGGUAGAGACAGAGGCGGGCUCUCCUAAUCCCAUCAGGCUGGACCCUUAAACAGUAUCUUUCCUGUUCCUCCAGGUUGGAGAGGAGGAUUCUGUGUAAGAGAAUGGGGGUGGGGUGGGGUGGGGUCCUGGCUGGAUAAGAACCUGCCAGGAGAGGACCAGAAGUUAGUGUGAUGGGACUCCAGCCUCCCCUCUAUCCCAGUUUCCAGGAUGAGUGAGGAAAACCAGCAGCCUCCUGCCCAAUGGCCCUGUGGCAGGGUCUCCUUUCGCAGGGGUAAGAAGACCCUCCCCCAGUCCUUAAUUAAUUGCGGUCUCUGUUCUGCUCCGUUGUCCAAGAGGGAGUGUGGCUGGCCUGGAUCCCCCUGUCCUCCUGUCCAUCCUGGACCCUUCACCCUCCUGGCAUCAGCUGCUGAGUUGGCGCUUUCCCAUCUCCAGGGGGUGGGAGCAGACCAAGGGCUUGUCUUGGUCCCCACGGUGGCGUAUGUGCGUGUACGCACACGGCCCCCAGUGCUGAGGCUGGACUCCCGACAGCUCAUGCAGAGGGUCUGGGACCCAGGAUCAGGAAAGAGCUGGCGGCGGGGCCUGGCAGGAGCUGGCCAGUGGUACAGCAGCAGACCGGGAAAGGGAAAAGCCGUAGGCGUGUCUCCUGUCCCAAGGAGAGCCAUCUGCUCCUGAGUCUCCGCAGUUCCAUCUGCAGAGGGAGGGGGAUAAGGAGAUGAGUGUGAGAAUUGCCUUUGAACUGAAAAGAACCUUGAGGUUCCCUGACAGCCUUGGUGACCCCAGUGAGACAGGUCACCCUGGUCUUGGAGAUAUCGGCUCCGACUUGUGAAGGGACGGUGGUGGGACCUCUUUCUUGGCACUUUGGGUAAUGGUGUCACCUACGCUCCCAUCCCACCCUUCUGACAUUGAAUAAAGUCUUCUCUGGAAAUGGAGGGGUCGCUGUAGACAGGAUGGUGACCCGAGAAUGGCCGGCUGUGUGUGGAUCCUGUGUCUCCUGCCCACCUUGGGUGUGUGUAGACUUCACGGUGAGUUCAGAUCCUGCCCUCGCUGCUUAAUGAGCGGUUGUCUAGGGCGAAGGCGCUUGCUUACCCAAGUGUUGGUUUCCUCUUUUAGAAAAUGGAGAGUAAUAGCAUUGCCUCAUGUGGUUGUGAGAAUUCCAGUGAGAUAAUGUCCCUGAUACUCCUAGCAUUUUGCCUUACCUGUGUCAUUAUUGAGGGUGGCGGCAGACGGAGUUAGUGGACCCCCUUUGGCAGUUCUCAAUACCCUAGCCUCUCCUUGAUCCCUGUAGAAACCAAGGCUCAGGCACCCACUGGGAAGGAAACUCUUCUUAAAACAUUUCUGCCCUCCCUUGCCCUGAGUGCCCUCUUCAUUAUAUCACUGUUAUGGGAAGCUCCAGCAAAGCUUGAGAAUCAUUUCUGUCCUUGCACCUUGCUUUCCUAAAGAAGCCUCUCUUUUCCUGCCUCUGAGGCUCCUCUCCUCAGGAACGAGGGCUGCUUCUCUCCUCUGGCCCCAGCCACUCGGCAAUAGAGACCCGUACUGGGUGGCCAGGCCCAGGAGAGGAUAUAGCUGUCCUUUCCCGCAUCCUGGUAGGAUCUAGUGCCUGGAAGCAGGUAGACAGUAGGUCCUGUGCUAGAGGGCCUCAUAUUCAUGACAUUAGCAGUGCUGGGUCUCAGAGACCCCUCUGCCCGCAGGGCAUAGGCUGAGGCCAGCAAAGGGGCCCUUGGGCCCCUCCCUAUUCCUGGCAUGGAGCCCAGCUGGCAGCACCCCCCUGCCAUGGCUGGGCUGGGUGCCACCCUCUGGGCUGAGGCCAGACCUGCCUGGCUCCUUCUCUGCACGAGGCAGCCCUCCAGUAGGGCUGCUGAUUUCGUUGAUAACGGUGCCCAAUGCAGGGAACACUGUCUCUGGCCGGGUUCUUGCCGCCCCUUUCAACCCUGCGAGAACAGAAAGGGCACUGCACUCAAAGUCACAAGCCCUCAGUUCUAACCUCAGCUCUGCCUCAUCAACUGAGUGGCCCUGGGCAGGUUGCUCUCCUUGCUGAAUCCUCCCUUCUUCCCCCUGAAAAAUGAGGGCACAGACCAGGGGAUUUCUAGAGCCCUGGCCAGGAUGGCUGGUUUGUGGUUCCAGCUUUUGCCAAUCCUGCCGACGAGGUGAGCUGUGCUCUGAGACCCCAGGAAGGACCCUGCUUCUGAUCCCCCUCUCCGGACGUUGGAGUGCAGGGCCUUCUCCCGGCUGAGGCCAGGGCAGCCAGUCCCUGCUGCAGCUCAGGUGGACGAGGAAGCCCCAGAAGGUCUCCCCCUUGUCAGACAGGAGGAGACAAGAUACUUCCCAAAGGACUGGGUGCCGGAUUCAGACGCCACACAGCCACUGGGUGCCUGUGGGUGGGGCUCGGUGAACCGUGGCUCUUGGCCAGACUCAGCCUAGAUUAGUCUGACCCAUGAGCUAAGAAUGAUUUUUAUAGUUUUUAGUGGUUGGGAAAAAUUCAAAAGCUGAAAGUAAUAUUUUGUGACACUUGAAAAUUAUAUAAAAUAUGAAUAUGAGUGGAGGUGUACUGGAACAGAGCCAUAUAAUCAUUUACAUCUUGUCUGUGGGUACUUUCUAUGAGGAUGGAGUUGUGUGAUUGCAGCAGAAACCACAUGGCCCACAAAGCCUAAAAUAUUGACUGUCUAGCCUUUUAUAGAAAAGGUUUGCCGACCUUGCUUAAGAUAAUCAUAGCUCUCCCAAGGCUUGCACUAAACAGCUCUGGAAUCUCAGUCUAAAAAAUACUUUCUUUUCAUUUAAAAAGAAGCAUUGCUUCUUCUUUGAACAUAAGCAAUGAAUGUUCAUUAUGGAAAUAUUAGAAGAUGUAAAUAAGCAAAAAGAAGGUGUUAAAAUCACCCAUAAUCCUGCCGCUCUGCUAGAUGACUCCUGUCAGCGUUUUGACUUAGGGUUAGGGUUAGGGUUAGGGUUAGGGUUACAAUUACAUGCAUUAUGUGCGUACACACAUGUAUAUACGUAUAUUUUAUAUUUUAAUAUAUAAUACAUAUAGCAUUAUAUGGUUUUGGAUUAUAUACAGUUUUGUAUAUACAUGUAUUUAUAUAGUGUACACGUAUGACACGUGUCUGUCCAGCACACAUGCAGCUUUUACAAGUUGCACACAAAUGCGCUUUUCUUUUAAAAAGAUAUCCCAGGAGUUCCCACUGUGGUGCAACAGGAUCAGUGGCAUCUCUGCAGCGCCAGGAUGCAGGUUCAAUCCCUGGCCUGGCACAGUGGGUUAAAAGGAUGCCGCGUUGUCCCAGCCGUAAUGUAGGUUGCCACUGCCACUCGGAUCUGGUCCCUGGCCUGGGAGCUCCAUAUGCUGUGGGGUGGCCGAAAAGAAGAAGAAGAAGAAAAUAUAUAUAUAUAUAUAUAUACAAUAAAACACAUCGUAAGAGUUCCCGUUGUGGCGCAGUGGUUAACGAAUCCGACUAGGAACCAUGAGGUUGCGGGUUCGGUCCCUGCCCUUGCUCAGUGGGUUAACGAUCCGGCAUUGCCGUGAGCUGUGGUAUGGGUUGCAGACGCGGCUCGGAUCCCGCGUUGCUGUGGCUCUGGUGUAGGCCGGUGGCUACAGCUCCGAUUCGAUCCCUAGCCUGGGAACCUCCAUAUGCCGCAGGAGCGGCCCAAGAAAUAGCAAAAAGACAAAAAACAAAAAACAAAAA